AGCAGCCGCGGUAAUUCCAGCUCCAAUAGCGUAUAUUAAAGUUGUUGCAGUUAAAAAGCUCGUAGUUGAACCUUAGGCCCGUGCGGGUGGUCCGUCCUCUGGGCGAGCACUGCUCCGUCGCGGGUCUCACCUUCUGGCGAGCGUGGAUGCCAUUCACUUGGUGUCCGCGGGAACCAGGACCUUUACCUUGAAAAAAUUAGAGUGCUCAAAGCGGGCUCGUACGCUUGAAUACAUUAGCAUGGAAUAAUGAAAUAGGACGACGGUUCUAUUUUGUUGGUUUCCGGGACAGUCGUAAUGAUUAAUAGGGAUAGUUGGGGGCAUUCGUAUUCAAUUGUCAGAGGUGAAAUUCUUGGAUUUAUUGAAGACGGACUACUGCGAAAGCAUUUGCCAAGGAUGUUUUCAUUAAUCAAGAACGAAAGUUGGGGGAUCGAAGACGAUCAGAUACCGUCGUAGUCUCAACCAUAAACUAUGCCGACUGGGAAUCGGGCGAUGUUAUUUUUCGUGACUCGCUCGGCGCCCCGAG
rnacentral:rRNA from 1 species